rnacentral:rRNA from 1 species
GACGAACGCUGGCGGCGUGCCUAAUACAUGCAAGUCGAGCGAAGUUUUUCUGGUGCUUGCCCUAGAAACACUUAGCGGCGCACGGGUGAGUAACACGUAAAGAACCUGCCUCAUAGACUGGGACAACUAUUGGAAACGAUAGCUAAUACCGGAUAACAGUAUUUCUCGCAUGAGAGAUAUUUAAAAGUUGGUUAUGCUAACACUAUGAGAUGGCUUUGCGGUGCAUUAGCUAGUUGGUGGGGUAAAGGCCCACCAAGGCGACGAUGCAUAGCCGACCUGAGAGGGUGAUCGGCCACACUGGGACUGAGACACGGCCCAGACUCCUACGGGAGGCAGCAGUAGGGAAUCUUCCGCAAAGGGCGAAAGCCUGACGGAGCAACGCCGCGUGAGUGAAGAAGGAUUUCGGUUCGUAAAGCUCUGUUGUUAGGGAAGAAUGGAUAUGUAGUAACUAUACAUGUAAGAGACGGUACCUAACCAGAAAGCCACGGCUAACUACGUG